UACGGGGGGGGCAAGCGUUGUUCGGAAUUACUGGGCGUAAAGGGCGCGUAGGCGGCCCGCUAAGUCAGACGUGAAAUCCCUCGGCUCAACCGGGGAACUGCGUCUGAUACUGGCAGGCUUGAAUCCGGGAGAGGGAUGUGGAAUUCCAGGUGUAGCGGUGAAAUGCGUAGAUAUCUGGAGGAACACCGGUGGCGAAGGCGGCAUCCUGGACCGGCAUUGACGCUGAGGCGCGAAAGCCAGGGGAGCAAACGGG
rnacentral:rRNA from 1 species